rnacentral:rRNA from 1 species
AACGAACGCUGGCGGCAGGCCUAACACAUGCAAGUCGAGCGGACCCUUCGGGGUUAGCGGCGGACGGGUGAGUAACGCGUGGGAACGUGCCCUUUGCUUCGGAAUAGCCCUGGGAAACUGGGAGUAAUACCGGAUACGCCCUUUUGGGGAAAGAUUUAUCGGCGAAGGAUCGGCCCGCGUUGGAUUAGGUAGAUGGUGGGGUAAUGGCCUACCAAGCCGGCGAUCCAUAGCUGGUUUGAGAGGAUGAUCAGCCACACUGGGACUGAGACACGGCCCAGACUCCUACGGGAGGCAGCAGUGGGGAAUCUUAGACAAUGGGGGAAACCCUGAUCUAGCCAUGCCGCGUGAGCGAUGAAGGCCUUAGGGUUGUAAAGCUCUUUCACCGGGGAAGAUAAUGACGGUACCCGGAGAAGAAGCCCCGGCUAACUCCGU